GACGAACGCUGGCGGCGUGCCUAACACAUGCAAGUGGAGCGACGAACCGGGCUUCGGCCCGGGGCCAAGCCGCGAACGGGUGAGUAACACGUGGGUAACCUGCCCUGAUGAUUGGGACAACCCGAGGAAACUCGGGCUAAUACCGAAUGUGCCCUCCGACCAUAAGGUCUGCGGGGAAAGGAAGCUUCGGCCUCCGCAUCGGGAUGGGCCCGCGGCGCAUUAGCUUGUUGGUGAGGUAACGGCUCACCAAGGCGACGAUGCGUAGCUGGUCUGAGAGGACGAUCAGCCACACUGGGACUGAGACACGGCCCAGACUCCUACGGGAGGCAGCAGUGGGGAAUCUUGCGCAAUGCGCGAAAGCGUGACGCAGCAACGCCGCGUGGGG
rnacentral:rRNA from 1 species